ACUGUAUAAUGUUCUAACGAAUCGGCUUAUAAUAAAAGUGCCAGUUUACUGGCUAUGACGAUAAACGACAUGUGAAAUAAACGAUGCGGACCCGGGGGCGGUACCCGGCGCCUCCACCAAACUAAGAUUACUAUUGUUUCAAUGGGGGUGAAAUAGGAUCGACGCGCGCGUAAAGACAGGUUUUUCGUUCGGCAUGGUACCACCGUUAUCGGGCUAAUUUACAAUUGCCAAUGAUAAUGACUUGGCUCUCGCUGCCUAAUAUAUAGGCAAGCGCGGUUCGGGGGGCACCGGGCAACAGAAGCCCUCCACU
rnacentral:tmRNA from 1 species